rnacentral:rRNA from 1 species
AUUUCCGGUUGAUCCUGCCGGACUCACUGCUAUCGGGUUGAGACUAAGCCAUGCGAGUUUUACGCUCCUAGGCUAUGUUAGGAGCGUGGCAUACGGCUCCGUAACACGUGGUUAAUCUACCCUUGGGACGCAGAUAACUCCGGGAAACUGGAGCUAAUAUGCGAUAUAUGAAGAGACCUGGAAUGGUUCUUCGUUUAGAGGGUGUGAAAAACAUGCUUUUUAUACUGCCCAAGGAUGAGACCGCGCCCGAUCAGGUUGUUGGUGAGGUAAUGGCUCACCAAGCCUAUAACCGGUACGGGCCCUGAGAGGGGGAGCCCGGAGAUGGGAACUGAGACAAGGUCCCAGGUCCUACGGGGCGCAGCAGGCGCGAAACCUUCGCAAUGCGCGAAAGCGUGACGAGGUUAACCCGAGUGCCAUCCGCUGAGGAUGGCUUUUCCCCAGUGUAAGGGGCUGGGGGAAUAAGGGGAGGGCAAGUCUGGUGUCAGCCGCCGCGGUAAUACCAGCUCCCCGAGUGGUGUGGACGAUUAUUUGGCCUAAAGCGUCCGUAGCCGGUCUAACAAGUCUCUCGUUAAAUCUGAUGACAUAAUCGUCAGACCGCGGGAGAUACUGUCAGACUAGAGGGCGAGAGAGGUCGACG